rnacentral:rRNA from 1 species
UUGCUAGAAGAUGACGAGCGGCGGACGGGUGAGUAAUACUUAGGAAUCUACCUAGUAGUGGGGGAUAGCACGGGGAAACUCGUAUUAAUACCGCAUACGACCUACGGGAGAAAGGGGGCAAUUUAUUGCUCUCGCUAUUAGAUGAGCCUAAGUCGGAUUAGCUAGAUGGUGGGGUAAAGGCCUACCAUGGCGACGAUCUGUAGCUGGUCUGAGAGGAUGAUCAGCCACACCGGAACUGAGACACGGUCCGGACUCCUACGGGAGGCAGCAGUGGGGAAUAUUGGACAAUGGGGGCAACCCUGAUCCAGCCAUGCCGCGUGUGUGAAGAAGGCCUUUUGGUUGUAAAGCACUUUAAGCAGUGAAGAAGACUCCGUGGUUAAUACCCACGGACGAUGACAUUAGCUGCAGAAUAAGCACCGGCUAACUCUGUGCCAGCAGCCGCGGUAAUACAGAGGGUGCAAGCGUUAAUCGGAAUUACUGGGCGUAAAGCGAGCGUAGGUGGCUUGAUAAGUCAGAUGUGAAAUCCCCGGGCUUAACCUGGGAACUGCAUCUGAUACUGUUAGGCUAGAAUAGGUGAGAGGAAGGUAGAAUUCCAGGUGUAGCGGUGAA